AUUGAACGCUGGCGGCAUGCCUUACACAUGCAAGUCGAACGGCAGCACGGGAGCAAUCCUGGUGGCGAGUGGCGAACGGGUGAGUAAUACAUCGGAACGUGCCCAGUCGUGGGGGAUAACGUAGCGAAAGCUACGCUAAUACCGCAUACGAUCUACGGAUGAAAGCGGGGGAUCGCAAGACCUCGCGCGGAUGGAGCGGCCGAUGGCAGAUUAGGUAGUUGGUGAGGUAAAGGCUCACCAAGCCUGCGAUCUGUAGCUGGUCUGAGAGGACGACCAGCCACACUGGGACUGAGACACGGCCCCGACUCCUGCGGUAGGCAGCAGUGGGGAAUUUUGGACAAUGGGCGCAAGCCUGAUCCAGCCAUUCCGCGUGCAGGACGAAGGCCUUCGGGUUGUAAACUGCUUUUGUACGGAACGAAAAGGCUCUGGUUAAUACCUGGGGCUCAUGACGGUACCGUAAGAAUAAGCACCGGCUAACUACGUGCCAGCCGCCGCAGUAA
rnacentral:rRNA from 1 species